rnacentral:misc_RNA from 1 species
GGAUGUUCUUGAAAACAAGAAAGAAAAAAGAGUUGCAAAAAGUUUGGGUACUGUAAGCAAGUGACAGAAUUUUAGGAGCCAUGAUGGUUAUUGUAAUCAUAUAAAUCUCAUGGACGAUGAAUGGGAAAUAUCAAGAAGGAAAAGGAAGAAAAUUCAGCCAUCAAAUAGUAUUGAAAUCUUGAAGGAACAAGCAUGGGAAAUUUGGAGAAGAGUAAAAAAGAAGAAGAAGAAGAAGA